AGAGUUUGAUCCUGGCUCAGAUUGAACGCUGGCGGCGUGCUUAACACAUGCAAGUCGAUCGGUAACGCGGGGGCAACCCUGGCGACGAGAGGCGGACGGGUGAGGAACGCUUGGGAAUCUGCCCUUCAGCGGGGGACAACCCGGGGAAACUCGGGCUAAUACCGCAUACGCUCCACGGAGGAAAGCCGGGGACCGCAAGGCCUGGCACUGAAGGAUGAGCCCAAGUCGGAUUAGCUAGUUGGCGGGGUAACGGCCCACCAAGGCGACGAUCCGUAGCUGGUCUGAGAGGACGAUCAGCCACACUGGGACUGAGACACGGCCCAGACUCCUACGGGAGGCAGCAGUGGGGAAUAUUGGACAAUGGGGGAAACCCUGAUCCAGCGACGCCGCGUGGGUGAAGAAGGCCUGCGGGUUGUAAAGCCCUUUCGGUAGGGACGAAAGCUCUCGACCUAACACGUCGGGAGGUUGACUUAACCUACAAAAGAAGCACCGGCUAACUCUGUGCCAGCAGCCGCGGUAA
rnacentral:rRNA from 1 species